GUAGGUGGCAAGCGUUGUCCGGAAUUAUUGGGCGUAAAGCGCGCGCAGGCGGUUCUUUAAGUCUGAUGUGAAAGCCCACGGCUCAACCGUGGAGGGUCAUUGGAAACUGGAGAACUUGAGUACAGAAGAGGAAAGCGGAAUUCCACGUGUAGCGGUGAAAUGCGUAGAGAUGUGGAGGAACACCAGUGGCGAAGGCGGCUUUCUGGUCUGUAACUGACGCUGAGGCGCGAAAGCGUGGGGGAGCAAACAGGAUUAGAUACCCUGGUAGUCCACGCCGUAAACCGAUGAGUGCUAAGUGUUAGGGGGUUUUCCGCCCCUUAGUGCUGCAGCUAACGCAUUAAGCACUCCGCCUGGGAGUACGGCCGCAGGCUG
rnacentral:rRNA from 1 species